rnacentral:rRNA from 1 species
UUUAAUUCGAAGCAACGCGAAGAACCUUACCAAAUCUUGACAUCCUCUGACCCCUCUAGAGAUAGAGUUUUCCCCUUCGGGGGACAGAGUGACAGGUGGUGCAUGGUUGUCGUCAGCUCGUGUCGUGAGAUGUUGGGUUAAGUCCCGCAACGAGCGCAACCCUUAAGCUUAGUUGCCAUCAUUAAGUUGGGCACUCUAAGUUGACUGCCGGUGACAAACCGGAGGAAGGUGGGGAUGACGUCAAAUCAUCAUGCCCCUUAUGAUUUGGGCUACACACGUGCUACAAUGGACAAUACAAAGGGUAGCGAAACCGCGAGGUCAAGCAAAUCCCAUAAAGUUGUUCUCAGUUCGGAUUGUAGUCUGCAACUCGACUAUAUGAAGCUGGAAUCGCUAGUAAUCGUAGAUCAGCAUGCUA